UGAGGCCCUGGGAGAUGGUAGAGCCACACCAUGAAGGUGCCUGGGUCCCUGAAUGACUGCAUGGAGCUCACUCUACAUUGGACUGUGACACAAGCAAGAAAGGUAGACACUUAGGAGUGGAAUUGCUGAGUCAUACAGUAAUUCUAUGUUUAACAUUUUGAGGAGCUGCCAAACUGUUUCCAAAAUGGCUGCAACAUUCUAUAUUUCCAUCAGCAAGAAGGGCCCAUGUGGCAAGGAACUAAGGGCAGUCUCUGGCCAAAAGCCCACAAGUAACUGAAUUCUGCCAAUAACCAUGAGUUUGGAAGUGGAUCCUUCCCCAUUCGAGUCUCAGAUGAGUCCCCAGCCCUGGCCAACAUCUUCAUGUGCUGUGAGAGACCAUUAAGCAGAGGACCCAGCUAAGCUCUGCCCAGAUGCUCAAUCCACAGAAAAAGAUACUAAGUGUGUGUUGUUUUAAGCUGCUACAUUUGCAGUGGUUUGAUAUGCAGCAAUAGAUAACUGAUACUGCUGUUAAUUGCUUUCUAUUACAAUCAGCUGGAAUAACUGCCCUUGUGCCUACAAUCAGAGAUGUAUUUUGGGAUCAAUUCCCAGACCUGAGAUUGUUCAGUCUAAGGGUAAGGAUAUUUAAUGUGGAAAAAUAACACUAAAUUGUCCUCCAAAAAUAUUAUCAAGUGACAAUCAUGCAAACAGUAUGAAAGUUCCUACUUCUCUCCAUGUUCUUGCCAAAUGAAGUGUCAUUGAUCAUUGAAAAAAUAUCAGUUUGAGAAAAAUCAGUACUGCAUUGCUUUGAUUGCAUUUUCCUGAUCACUUAUCAGGGUGAGCAUCUUUUUAACGAAUCCCUUGGCCAUUUAUUUUCCUCUUUCUUUUGAGACUUCUCUCUUGAUAUUUUUAGCUUUUAUCCUAUUUUAAUUGGAUUUCAAUUGGAUUGAACAACUAGAAUGAUAGAAUGAUAUCUGGGGGGCACACAAUGGCCAUUGGUGAUGCUGCUGUUGAUUACCCAAAGUGCUAUCCCAUUUCUUCCUGUGUAUUUACUACUAUUUCUCUUGCAGUUAAUAAGCAAUUUAUGGGAAGAUUCUUUGAGACCAUUCAAAUAUCCUGCACCUCAUUAAAAUAUCCCCCUGGAUUUAGCAGCCUUUGAUGAUUCUUGCCUGAACAAAACUUUAUUAUGGUAGAUGUAAAAUGAAGAUUUUCAUUUCUAGCACUUCUUCCACAUUUACCAGCUACAUUCAGCCUUCUUGUGGAUAAGACUCUCCCCUUUCUCCCAAAUGUUUAUUGUUUUUAUUAGUAUGGACUCACGAUUUCCUGUUCUUCUCAAUGGCCUAUAAUUUAUUACUAUCUUUAAUUAUAUUAGUGCUCAAAUUUUCCCAGUUUGGCCAGUGGGAUCCCCUCCAAGUUGGCUAUUAUUUCCUUGUGACAUACCCACUUUUUCUUUCUUUCUCUUUCUUUUUCUUUCCUUUUAAAACUCACUUCUUUACUUCCUGCUCCAGCCCUGGAAUCAGCCAUUUCUCUGAAAAACUGUGGUUCUUUCAAGUGGACAAAGGUAUUAGAGACCAAAAUUUGGGCACAAGAUAUGCACUUUAACAAGGACCCACUUUAAGUGCAGUUUAGUGAAUUUGAAUGAAUGCAUGAACUUCUGUAACUACUACCACAAUCAAGAUAUAGAGUUUCUGUCACCUCUCAAAGCCUCCUUUUCUUGCUUGCUCAUAUGCAAUUACCUCUGUCCAAAAUGACCCUUUCCCUUUCCUCUACACACUUGGCAAAGCCAUGAUUGAACAUUUAUUCCUUCUUAGAUUUUGUUCCAUUUUCCUCAGCAAAGGUUCUUUGUUUCCUCUUCUUCAUGCUCACAAAAGAGAGAGUAAAAGUGCUUGCUCAACAGUUCUUCAACUGCUCUAA
rnacentral:lncRNA from 1 species